rnacentral:ncRNA from 2 species
CUUUAACUUAAUUUAUUCACUCAUAUAAUCGCAGGGAUAUGGCCUGCAAGUAUCUACCGGAUUACCGUAAAUGAUCUGACUAUGAGUGAGCAAUGCCAGAGG